rnacentral:rRNA from 1 species
UACAGAGGUCCCAAGCGUUGUUCGGAUUCAUUGGGCGUAAAGGGUGCGUAGGCGGCGCGGUAAGUCGGUGUGAAAUCUCGGGGCUUAACUCCGAAACUGCAUUCGAUACUGCCGUGCUUGAGGACUGGAGAGGAGACUGGAAUUUACGGUGUAGCGGUGAAAUGCGUAGAUAUCGUAAGGAAGACCAGUGGCGAAGGCGGGUCUCUGGACAGUUCCUGACGCUGAGGCACGAAGGUCAGGGGAGCAAACGGG